UACGUAGGGUGCAGGCGUUAAUCGGAAUUACUGGGCGUAAAGCGUGCGCAGGCGGUUUCUUAAGUCAGAUGUGAAAGCCCCGGGCUUAACCUGGGAACUGCGUUUGAUACUGGGAAGCUUGAGUCCGGAAGAGGUGAGUGGAACUCCGAGUGUAGAGGUGAAAUUCGUAGAUAUUCGGAAGAACACCAGUGGCGAAGGCGGCUCACUGGUCCGGUACUGACGCUGAGGUGCGAAAGCGUGGGGAGCAAACAGG
rnacentral:rRNA from 1 species